GUCAACCCGGAAGGAGUGACCUCGCCCACCGGAAGACGCCCCCCUCCGUCAGGCUUCCUGGCGACGGUAAAUAAAUUAAACAAUGAGCAAAUGUUCAAGGCAGUGACGUUACAUUAGCAGAGAAAUAAACGUCCUGGUUUAUCGGAGGGAAACGAGUUUAAACAACCGGGACAUUUAUCAUUUAUUUCGCUGAGUCAUCGUGGCCAACAGACCAGCUACAGUAACGGCUCCAUGUUUGCUUCAGUUCUGCUGUUAGUCUGAAAUAGUUACAGAAACGUUAUAAAUCACAGGAGGCUGAAGUCUGAUGGAUCCGAAGACUUCAGGGAAUCAAAUGGAUCCGAUAAAUGCGGAGCGCGGCCGGUUUUCAGUCUAAAAGAAAUAUUUUUCACGGGCCAAGAUGGCGGCGGAUGGGUGUGCUGUGGUGGCGUAGGGGACAGCGCGACGGAUGUCGUCAACAAACGUCAGCCGUCGGUCCUGGCAGAGCAGACGGCGCUUCCUGCAGAGGGAAACGAGCGGCUCUGAGACGUGCGGCUAUGUUUACAGCGUCUGUCAACACAAUCAUCGAUGCAUUUCACUUCAGUGAAACGUCUCCACCUGUUUCCCUCUGUUUCUGCUGACAGGAGCCUUGAGAUGAGUUCUGCAGGGUUCAGCCCGGUUCCCUCCACCUGUUGACUUCAGCCUCCAUGUUUCUCCACAUCAACCAGCUCCCAGCGGCGGAACCGACUGAACCGGACCCGUCCAGGCAGAAAUGCAUCCAGAAAGCUCAGCGGCCCUGAAGGAGCGCCGCGGCGGCGUUGGGACGAUCCGCUGCCAGCCGUUCGGACUCUCCUGAUUAUCUGGACUGACAGUUGACCUUCAGCCGAGCCGCUGCUGCUCUGGUCCAGGCCGGUGUUUGGUUUUUCUGGGAUGAUGGCCUGAUAAUCCUCUCCUCGGUAACAGUGGUCGACUCCAGGUUAUCUUCAUUUAAGCGCUUCGGUCGCCUCCAGUUAAUAAUACUUGACAUUUAGUGAAGAAAAGCCGCCCAGGCGCUGGGAAAACGUCGAGCUGUUGGGAGUUCAGACGUCUGUGUCUGAAUCAAUCGUCUCGGUUUCUGAAAGCCUUGAACCUCCUGCUGCUGGAGGAGUUUCAUGUUUUAGUUUAUUUAUGACUGGAACCAUUUAACUCGUCACACAGGAUUAAUUUGUUUUCCUUUUAAUCUCAGAUUACAGCAGAUAUUAAACUCAAACAGCAGCUGCACCUUUCUGGCCCUUCCAGGCUGCCUUACUCAGAACCUUUCUGGUGACAUUUCUGAAACUUUCAUAGUUUUAGAUCAGGGGGGUCCAACGUGUGGCUCGGGGGCCAUUUGUGGCCCUUGGACUAUUUUUUUUUUUGCAGCC